rnacentral:lncRNA from 1 species
UGCAGGAGUGGAGGCAAGGAAAGCUACCUGGGUUAAGAUGGAUACGAUCUUUCAAUCCAGCUCUGAUUGCUCAAUAUUGCUCAAGAAAUGGAAACUCUUCAAGGUGAUUCUUCUCAGGAUUGCUGGUAGGAGUGAGUGACCUUGGGCAGCAGCACUGGAGAGACCCAGCUGUUCAUUUCUGUGUCAUGCUGUAUCUAUGGCCUCCCCAGGUGCAGAAUCUGACCGCCUGGCCUCUUGCACAUGCAGAGAACAGUGCUACAGCACCACAUCCGCAGACAGCUCCACUGGCUCCCUCUUCGCUGCAGGCUCCAUUUCAGGAAUUACGUGGAGGCCAGAUUGGGCUGGAUCGAUGCUUGGAGGGUUCAUGCUCAGAUCUACCCUUCCCCACUGUCUCUCCUUUCUUCAGACCCUGCCAAGGGCUCUCCACAGACAGCAUUUUCCUCUAUGAUCUUCCCCUGCGGCGGCGAAUCCAACCAGUUGACUGCACAAUGGAUUGCCUGUGAUUUGUCAGCUGACAAUUUCAACUGUCAAGUGAAGGUUACUGGACUUCAAAACAGAUGUUCCCCCUCUGGUAUAAAAGCAGCAUGGAGGAGAUGGAAAUCGUCCGAAAGCGACAUGGUUUUAAGGUAUAGGAGCAUCUUCUCC